rnacentral:rRNA from 1 species
AACGAACGCUGGCGGCAGGCCUAACACAUGCAAGUCGAACGCCGUAGCAAUACGGAGUGGCAGACGGGUGAGUAACACGUGGGAACAUACCCUUCGGUUCGGAAUAACUCAGGGAAACUUGAGCUAAUACCGGAUACGUCCGCGAGGAGAAAGAUUCAUCGCCGGAGGAUUGGCCCGCGUCUGAUUAGCUUGUUGGUGAGGCAAUGGCUCACCAAGGCGACGAUCAGAGCUGGUCUGAGAGGAUGAUCAGCCACAUUGGGACUGAGACACGGCCCAAACUCCUACGGGAGGCAGCAGUGGGGAAUAUUGGACAAUGGGCGCAAGCCUGAUCCAGCCAUGCCGCGUGAGUGAUGAAGGCCCUAGGGUUGUAAAGCUCCUUUACCCGGGAAGAUAAUGACUGUACCGGGAGAAUAAGCCCCGGCUAACUUCGUGCCAGCCGCCGCGGUAAU